rnacentral:rRNA from 1 species
CGCCACGGGAAACCCGCUCCCCGAGUGGUGGGACGGCUUAUUGGGCCUAAAGCAUCCGUAGCCGGCUGGACAAGUCCCCUCGUUAAAAUCCAGCGAUUCAAAUCGCUGGACUGCGGGGAGUACUGUCCAGCUAGGGGGCGGGAGAGGCCGACGGUAUUCCCGAGGUAGGGUGAAAUCUUAUAAUCUCGGGAGGACCACCAGUGGCGAAGGC